GAACGCACAUUGCGCCCCUGGGCAUUCCUAGGGGCAUGCCUGUCCGAGCGUCAUAAACAAAAGUCGAGCCCUCUUUGCUCGGUGUUGGGCGUGUCGUCACUAAUCUGUGGCGCGCCUGAAAGUUCAGGGCAGUCGCCUCUGGACCUCAAGCGUAGUAAAAUCCUCGCUUGUUUUUCAGAAAGCAACUAGCCAGACCCGCAGGGGUUGCCAAAAAAACGUAUUUGACCUCGGAUCAGGUAGGGACACCCGCUGAACUUAAG
rnacentral:misc_RNA from 1 species